rnacentral:rRNA from 1 species
GACGGAGGAUGCAAGUGUUAUCCGGAAUGAUUGGGCGUAAAGCGUCCGCAGGUGGCUGUGUAAGUCUGCCGUUAAAGAGUGAGGCUCAACCUCAUAAAGGCGGUGGAAACUACAUGAGCUAGAGUACGUUCGGGGCAGAGGGAAUUCCUGGUGUAGCGGUGAAAUGCGUAGAGAUCAGGAAGAACACCGGUGGCGAAGGCGCUCUGCUAGGCCGUAACUGACACUGAGGGACGAAAGCUAGGGGAGCGAAUGGG